AGCUGAGAACUGAGGACAGAGCUUCACAGCUUCUCUCUGAGAGGUUACAGUCACUCAGUAGAACUUUGUUGGAGGCUUUAACCACUGGCAGCAGCCUCAGAAGAACCUCCUCUGAAGCAGAGUAUUUCUUCAGGUCAAACACAUCCAGAUCUUUUCCUGAUGACACUAAGAUGAAACCCAGAGCUGACCACUG